rnacentral:rRNA from 1 species
UACAGAGGUCUCAAGCGUUGUUCGGAAUCACUGGGCGUAAAGGGUGCGUAGGUUGUUUGGUUAGUCAGGUGUGAAAACUUAGCGCUCAACGUUAAGCCUGCAUUUGAUACUGCCGGACUAGAGGUUCAGAGAGGAAACUAGAAUUCACGGUGUAGCAGUGAAAUGCGUAGAUAUCGUGAGGAAUACCAAAGGCGUAGGCAAGUUUCUGGAUGAAUUCUGACACUGAUGCACGAAGGCUAGGGGAGCAAAUGGG